AUUGAACGCUGGCGGCAGGCCUAACACAUGCAAGUCGAGCGGAGCGGCGGACGGGUGAGUAAUACCUAGGAAUCUGCCUGGUAGUGGGGGAUAACGUCCGGAAACGGACGCUAAUACCGCAUACUAUCAGAUGAGCCUAGGUCGGAUUAGCUAGUUGGUGAGGUAAUGGCUAACCAAGGCUACGAUCCGUAACUGGUCGGAGAGGAUGAUCAGUCACACGGGAACUGAGACACGGUCCAGACUCCUACGGGAGGCAGCAGUGGGGAAUGUUGGACAAUGGGCGAAAGCCUGAGGCGGCCAUGCCGCGUGUGUGAAGAAGGUCUUCGGAUUGUAAAGCACUUUAAGGUGGGAGGCGUUACCGACAGAAUAAGCACCGGCUAACUCUGUGCCAGCAGCCGCGGUAAUUC
rnacentral:rRNA from 1 species